UUUCCGUAGGUGAACCUGCGGAAGGAUCAUUAUUGUAUAACCGAGGUGCGAGGGCUGUCGCUGACCCGAAAGGUCGUGCACACUCGAGUGCCCCCACACACAUCCAUCUCACCCCUAUGUGCACCACCGCGUGGGUCCCCCUUUGGCUUGUUCGGAGGGGGGCUUACGUUUUCACACAAACUUUGUAUGCAGUGUAGAAUGUAUUUUUUGUUUUUGCGAUCACGCAAUCAAUACAACUUUCAACAACGGAUCUCUUGGCUCUC
rnacentral:misc_RNA from 1 species